CUUUUUAUUUAUUUUCAACAGACAUUUAAUCAUCCUUCAUACCUGUAUGGGUCAAAACCGGACUCGUGAUAAUUAACGAGAUUAGUCAUCCUUAAGCAUAUUCGGGUUAACAUAUGGCACAACCAUCCAUUAAUAAUAAGCAUUCGGAGACUACUCAGCUUAAUCAAUAAGGUCACGGCCUACUCACUAUUGACGGGCAUCCCCUCGACAUGACCACGGCUGCCCAACGCCAGCUGGUAAAAUUCAUAGCUAUAAAUACUAAGAGAAAGAACCCUAAAAGGGGGCUUCUUCUUCUUCAUUACGUUUCCUUAGAAAAGAGAGAGUAUCAUUGGAAGGCUCUGAACCUCUCCAUGGAGAGGCAGACCAAAUCGAUAUUAUCAAUAAAAGAUCUCUGCCCUCCUCUUCUUAACAAAUAACAUUUCCCUCUUGCAUUUUCCAUUUGGUCUUUUGGUUAUUACGUUCUGCCAUGAUUGACCCUCAACUUAAUUUUAUUGUUAUGCUUGCAAAGUAUAUGAUAACUUUGAGCUAAACAAUACCGUUCAAAGUCGACCUUAUUCUUAGAUAAUUGUAAUCUUUUACACAAAUCUCUCAUUGUUUGAGUUUUCUUCAUUUCUUUUAAGGAAUAUAAUUUUCAUCUCAACAUACAUU
rnacentral:lncRNA from 1 species